AAGUAAAAGUCGUAACAAGGUUUCCGUAGGUGAACCUGCGGAAGGAUCAUUAACGAGUAAACAGGAGAGUUGUAGCUGGCCGCAAGGCAUGUGCACGCUCUCUACUCAAUCCAACCUUACACCUGUGCACCUAUUGUAGGUCGAGUGGCUGGACUUGUUCUGGUCGCUCUUCCUAUGUUUUACACAUACACUUGUAGUCUCAGAAUGUAAUCAGCGUAUAACGCAUUAUAAAACAACUUUCAACAACGGAUCUCUUGGCUCUCGCAUCGAUGAAGAACGCAGCGAAAUGCGAUAAGUAAUGUGAAUUGCAGAAUUCAGUGAAUCAUCGAAUCUUUGAACGCACCUUGCGCUCCUUGGUAUUCCGAGGAGCAUGCCUGUUUGAGUGUCAUGAAUAUCUCAACUCACCCGGUUUUCAUUAACUGUGGUGGGCUUGGACUUGGAGGUAUGCUGGCUGACUAGUCGGCUCCUCUCUAAAUGCAUUAGCUGGACCUGUUAUGGAUCAGUACUCGGUGUGAUAAUUGUCUACGCCGUGUCUGUGAAGUGCUUGAAUGGACUAGCUUCUAACCGUCUUCGGACAACUA
rnacentral:rRNA from 1 species